UACCAGCACCCCGAGUGGUCGGGACGUUUUAUUGGGCCUAAAGCAUCCGUAGCCGGUUCUACAAGUCUUCCGUUAAAUCCACCUGCUUAACAGAUGGGCUGCGGAAGAUACUAUAGAGCUAGGAGGCGGGAGAGGCAAGCGGUACUCGAUGGGUAGGGGUAAAAUCCGUUGAUCCAUUGAAGACCACCAGUGGCGAAGGCGGCUUGCCAGAACGCGCUCGACGGUGAGGGGUGAAAGCUGGGGGAGCAAACCGGG
rnacentral:rRNA from 1 species